GGUUUCAUUGUUAUCUGCCUGUUAUCUUACAAUUCUUCCAAGUCACUCUGUAAGAAGGCUGAAACACAGAGCAUGUAACAAGGUUCUGUGACUUCUUCAAAAGAGGUAUAAGUGAGGUUCAAAACAGUUUUGUCAUUUGGUUAGUUUGACCUAAGUGGUAAUGAACAGCUUCUUCCAAGUGUUCUUGAUUACAGUAGAAUCAAUGUUAAUUUUUAUAAGCAGUUGUUGUGCUAAUUUAUAAAAUGCAAAUGAAGUGAUGUGGCUUGAUUCACAGAAAGGUGGAGCUCAAAACUACAGCUGUUAAUUUGAACAACACCCAAACACCUUUUGCAACAACUGACUUCAGGUUACAUGAUAAAGACAAAGUUCUAUGAGGGUGUCACAAUGUCUUGCUUUUUUCCUUAAAGUCUCUUAUUUUCUUCACAUUUUGCUGUUCAUUAGUUUUUACUCUCUGGGAGAGAAGAAAAGUGUUUUAGUUGGUUGGGUUUUGUUUUCUUUGGUGCUGUUUAACCGGAAUGGAAAAGGUGUUUUUGCUAAAAACCUCACUUGUAAACUUUUUUCAAUAGAGAAGACAGACACAUUUUCUUAUCUUAAAAAUAAAACAGAAACAUCACCAAAAAAAAAUAA